UACAGAGGUCUCAAGCGUUGUUCGGAUUCAUUGGGCGUAAAGGGCGCGUAGGCGGCCCGUCAAGUCCCGUGUGAAAGCCCCCGGCUCAACCGGGGAACUGCACGGGAAACUAGCAGGCUUGAGUUCGGGAGAGGGAAGCGGAAUUUCGGGUGUAGCGGUGAAAUGCGCAGAUAUCCGAAGGAACACCGGUGGCGAAGGCGGCUUCCUGGACCGACACUGACGCUGAGGCGCGAAAGCUAGGGGAGCAAACGGG
rnacentral:rRNA from 1 species